rnacentral:rRNA from 1 species
UACGUAGGGUGCGAGCGUUAAUCGGAAUUACUGGGCGUAAAGCGUGCGCAGGCGGUUUUGCAAGACAGAUGUGAAAUCCCCGGGCUCAACCUGGGAACUGCCUUUGUGACUGCAUAGCUAGAGUACGGCAGAGGGGGAUGGAAUUCCGCGUGUAGCAGUGAAAUGCGUAGAUAUGCGGAGGAACACCGAUGGCGAAGGCAAUCCCCUGGGCCUGUACUGACGCUCAUGCACGAAAGCGUGGGGAGCAAACAGG